CUACGGGAGGCUGCAGUCAGGAAUCUUUUGCAAUGCACGCAAGUGUGACAGAGCGAACCAGAGUGUUUCUCAUAUAGAGAGACUUUUGCCAACUGUAAAAAAGCUGGCGAAUAAGGACUGGGUAAGACUGGUGCCAGCCGCCGCGGUAAUCCCAGCGGUCCAAGUCGUAGCCACAAUUAUUGGGUCUAAAACAUCCGUAGCUUGUUUCAUAAGUCCCUUGUGAAAUUCCAUGUCUUAAACAUGGAACGUGCGAGAGAUACUGUGAAGCUAGAGACCGGAGGAUGUGAAGAGUACAAUCAAGGUAGCGGUUAAAUGUGUUGAUCUUGGUUGGACUAACAAUAGCGAAGGCACUUCACAAUUACGGUUCUGACAGUGAGGGAUGAAAGCUAGGGGCGCGAAACGGAUUAGAUACCCCUGUAGUC
rnacentral:rRNA from 1 species